rnacentral:rRNA from 1 species
ACGGGGUGCAGCAGGCGCAAAAACUUUGCAAUGCGGGAAACCGUGACAAGGGAACUCCGAGUGCCCGUAAAUUCGGGCUGUCCGCCAGUGUAAAAAACUGGUGAAGAAAGGGCCGGGCAAGACCGGUGCCAGCCGCCGCGGUAAUACCGGCGGCUCGAGUGGUGGCCACUAUUACUGGGCUUAAAGCGUUCGUAGCUGGUCUGUUAAGUCUCUGGGGAAAUCUUCCGGCUUAACCGGAAGGCGUCCCAGGGAUACUGGCAGACUAGGGACCGGAAGAGGUGAGGGGUACUCCAGGGGUAGGAGUGAAAUCCUGUAAUCCUUGGGGGACCACCUGUGGCGAAGGCGUCUCACCAGAACGGCUCCGGCAGUGAGGGACGAAAGCUGGGGGAGCAAACCGGAUUAGAUACCUGGGUAGUCCCAGCUGUAAACGAUGCGCGUUAGGUGUAUCGGUGACCACGAGUCACCGAGGUGCCGAAGAGAAAUCGUGAAACGUGCCGCCUGGGAAGUACGGUCGCAAGGCUGAAACUUAAAGGAAUUGGCGGGGGAGCAC